UUUCUAAGUGACCCUAAACUUUUGGACAGUAGUGGAUGUCAUAGUUAUCAUGAAUACAGCCUGAGGCUGUGGUCAGGGCAGUGCUCUCUCCUCCAGCUCUAUUCUCUCCCUCUCUCUCUCUCUCAGGUGUGUGUUGGUGCAGAAGGCUGCAGCAGGUGUUCUGAGUUGGUGAUUGGGUGAUUGUGUGCAGGUGGAAGUCAUGCAAUCAAGCUGCUCCCGCUCUGCUUAUAAUCAGACGCCACUCUGUCUUGGAUGUGGGACUGUGAGCAAUGAACAUGUCGACUUCUGCCUGCUUCAGCUCCCGGAUCCUCUGCCUGGUUACCUACCUCCUUCCCACCUUUCAGCCUCCUGGAUGAAACACCUGCUGUCAGCCAGACCUCGCCACCUGAGACGCCAUAACCAUCCAGGUGUGUGUUGGUGCAGAAGGCUGCAGCAGGUGUUCUGAGUUGGUGAUUGGGUGAUUGUGUGCAGGUGGAAGUCAUGCAAUCAAGCUGCUCCCGCUCUGCUUAUAAUCAGACGCCACUCUGUCUUGGAUGUGGGACUGUGAGCAAUGAACAUGUCGACUUCUGCCUGCUUCAACUCCCGGAUCCUCUGCCUGGUUACCUACCUCCUUCCCACCUUUCAGCCUCCUGGAUGAAACACCUGCUGUCAGCCAGACCUCGCCACCUGAGACCUCAGACCGGCCGGCUGGCUGGCUCUCUCCUGUUGCCCCGGUCAGAGAGCCCAGUGCUUUCUCCUGUUGCCCCGGUCAAAGAGCGCAGCUCUCUCCUGGGCUCUCAGACUGGCCGGCUGGCUGGCUGGCUCCCUCCUGUUGCCCCGGUCUGAGAGC